rnacentral:SRP_RNA from 1 species
GCUGGGCGUGGUGGCUCAUGCCUAUAAUCCUAGCACUUUGGGAGGCUGAGGCAGGUGGAUCUCUUGAGACCAGGAAUUUGAGAUCAGCCUGGGGCAACAUAUUGAAAUCCCGUCUCUACAAAAAAUACAAAAAAAAAAAAAAAAAAAAAAAAAANNNNNNNNNNCGCAUGCCACCACACCUGGCUAUUUUUUUUUUUUUUUUUUUUUUUUUUGUAUUUUUUGUAGAGACGGGAUUUCAAUAUGUUGCCCCAGGCUGAUCUCAAAUUCCUGGUCUCAAGAGAUCCACCUGCCUCAG